ensembl:lncRNA
CCUUCCUUUCCUUGUUUGUGUUUGUGGAGUGGUUGAGCGGGUGUGCUUUCCCUUUAGGCCUCCACAAAGAUGGCUGCAGCUUAGCUUUGACUUCCCAGGGGGGAAUGGAGGACUUUGGUGCAUGCCGCAAAAGGGGUGUUCCCUCUUAGUCCUGCGAGCGCAGCGAGUGUCCUGUCUUCCUACUAUUUUCCUUAGUGCAGAUCAGAGCCACACGGUAGUUCUGUGGCCAAGGCCUCCCUGUAGCCAGGGCUUGGGCCUGUCCUUGCGUGGCCGCCUGUCCUGCUGGCGGCGGUGACAGCCCCGUACUCGGGGUGUGUGUCCCAAGCUUUGGAGCCCUCUGUCCCUGAGCAGCCCGCCCGCCCUGUAAUCAGGUGUGGGGAGGCUGCAGCGUUGCAGCCGGCUGCUUUAGCCGUCCAGCUGGUGGGAGUGACCCCUCCCUGUCCCGUCAGAGGGUGCAGGUUGAGGUGCUGUUUGUGUGUGGGGUGACCUCCCCGCUCGGUGGGUCGAGGUAGCUCCCUGGGCUUCCAAAGACGAGACGUUGGUGAUGUUCUGCUGCUGCCGGGCGGGCCAGCCUGUAACUCAGGCGUUGGCGGGAGCCUCGUGCUCCGCGGGGCUUCUUGAAGAGGGUGAGGUGUGGGGGUACCGUCCUGUAGGCAGGGCUGUGUGUGCCCCCCGUGUGUGCUUGGUGAGCUGCAUUCUGAGAGACCCCCUGUACUCAGGUGGGAAUGUGGCCCCGGCCUUUCAGAGGCGCGGGGCCGUGAGAUGCGGGGUGGGGCUUGCGCCCUCCCUGGAAUCGGGGCUGGGAUCCCGACUGCGGCCUUUGGCCGUGCCGCCCCGCUGCCUGGCUGCUGAGAGUUGCUCCUGCCGCUGGGGGGGAAACCGAGCUCUGUGGCUCCAGGGGUGUUGUCCACCCGCCUGUAAUCAGGGUCUGGGUGCGCGAGCGUUUGUGCUCUGCUGGCAGCCUGUGUGGGGUGACCGCCCCGCUAGCGGGGUGUGGGUCGAGGUGCCCCGGACUGGGAGAGAAGGAGCCUCCCUCGGCCGUAGGGAUGGGGGCCGCCCUGUAAGUCAGGGAGCAUCUGUGUCCCGGAGUCCCAGGCCCUUUUCAAUGGCGGCAGUGGCCGGGGGUCCCCUGUAAGCAGGGAAGCUGACUCUUUGGCUGCUGCUUUUUGUGUGCCCAGCCCCAUUUGCCCGGUCUGCCCGCCUCUGUGAUCCCCCGCAGCACUGGCUGGAAGUCUGCCGCGUGUCAGUGAGGAGCUGCUUCAGAAGAAAGAAGAAGCGGUGUGGGGACCUGGGCUGCAAAAUCAAGAUGGGGUAUCUGUUGACUGUUUUUCUUGUAUUUCUUUGCCUUUUGGAGCCACAGUUUUGAACGGUUGUGUAAGACUUUAUCACUCUUUUUGUCAGCGUUGUCAGUUGUGAAUAAAGCUUUUUUUCCAUGUUGUUUUUCUUGUUAUA